CGUAGUGAAGCAUUGGAUGAAGGAAAACAAUCUCGGUAAAACAUUUUCUGUUUUUCCAAUAUUAAAGUAAAUUUGAACUCCUAUAGUUCUUUUUCUAAAAAGUCAAUUUUUGUAGUUGUGCAAACAGUGUAUACUUCAUUCUGAUCUUAACAGCGUUAAAGUUUAGUGGAUUUGCAUCUGCUUCAGGUUGCGUUUUUGACCUUCUUUUGUAAUCUCAGUGAAUUAGUUUCUUUGCUGUCAUUAUUGUGUACUGUUAUUGAUAAAUAUUAGCUACAUAAUGUACAUUAAGGGAACAUUAAACUGUAGUUGGUUAUACUUUCAUGAUAACACAGUUAUUAAAGAAAUUUGUUGUGCUAGUUCUCAUAAUUUAAAGAAAUUUAGUGUGCAGUACUUUUAUUUUAAACUGAUUAUGGAUCAUGUAUGCAGCAGUGUCUAUGCGUGGGCUAAGCCUAAUUUAGCAAUUAGAUUAAAUAUGUUGAAGUAGCAGUGAGGUCAGGAUAGGCCAGGGUUUAGGUUGCAGAUGUACCAGCAGACAUCACAGUGUGGAAGAUGAGGAGGAUCUGCUUGAAAGCAGGAAGGUGUAAACUGUAAGGAUGCUGUGAAAUGAAUUACACUCCAGGCUUGGAUUAGCACAUGUUUGAGAUUUAUUUUUCAAGUGAAAACAUUGGAGAUUCAUCUGAAAUUAUAUUCAAUUCGAAAUGUGUAAAUUUUUUGUGAUAAGUCUUUCAUGGCAUGCCUGGGUGUCAGCUGCCUGCCCUGGGCCAGGACUAUGUUUCCAGACUGUUUUUAUCCCACAAGGGUUUUUUUAAGUCUGGUUUUACGCAGCCGGCAGGCAGCACAUAAAACAGAUCUACCUGACAAAUCAGUUUGAUUUCAUUUUGACUGAUAUAUCUUUGGAUCAUGCAUGGUUAAUUAACAGAGUUUUUGGUGUUUAGUAACUUGGUAUUAAUUGAAAAUAAACUACGUUUGGAUGAUA